UGGAUUAGGCAUGCAAGUCGAGGGAGAACCCGCAAGGGGGACACCGGCGAACGGGGUAGGGUCAUCUCGGUGACGUACCCCCAGGGCGAGGAUAGCCACGGGAAACUGUGGGUAAUACUCGAUAAUCUUCUCGAUUAUAAUCGUUUGAGAAGCAAUGGGUGUGAUUCCACCUGGGGAGCGGCUUACGCAGUAUCAGCUAGUUGGCGAGGUAACGGCUCACCAAGGCUUUGGCGCUUAGGGGGUGUGAGAGCAUGGCCCCCACCACUGGCACUGAGACACUGGCCAGACACCUACGGGUGGCUGCAGUCGAGAAUCUUCGGCAAUGGACGAAAGUCUGACCGAGCGACGCCGCGUGCGGGAUGAAGGUCUUCGGAUUGUAAACCGCUGUCAGAGGGGAUGAAGUAUACGAGAGCUAUCUCUUGUAUUUGACAGAGCCUCAGAGGAAGCACGGGCUAAGUACGUGCCAGCAGCCGCGGUA
rnacentral:rRNA from 1 species